CAGUAGCCGCGGGAAUACGUAGGUGGCAAGCGUUGUCCGGAAUCAUUGGGCGUAAAGCGCGCGCAGGCGGUUUCUAAGUCUGAUGUGAAAGCCCCCGGCUUAACCGGGGAGGGUCAUUGGAAACUGGGAGACUUAGAGUGCAGAAGAGGAGAGUGGAAUUCCACGUGUAGCGGUGAAAUGCGUAGAGAUGUGGAGGAACACCAGUGGCGAAGGCGACUCUCUGGUCUGUAACUGACGCUGAGGAGCGCAAGCGUGGGGAGCGAACAGGAUUAGAUACCCCCGUAGUCCCUGUCUCUUAUAC
rnacentral:rRNA from 1 species